AAAGAUCGAAAAACACUUACAAAAUAAGCAGGCCCGAGCCCGUUGUUGAUGAUGUCCGACAGGAGCCCCACCACGUGCUUCAUCCAAAGGUGGAGCUCCUCGACAUGCUCCCACUUCUCGGCCUCCUUCUUGUCGUCGAGGAAGAUAUUGGGCUCGGACGGGUCGGUGGAAGCUCGGAUACGAAUCCGAUCGGGACACCAGUUCUCCAUCUCCCGAUCAGCCCGCGCCUUGACGCCGCGGAUAAGGUUCUCGACGGUCUCGA
rnacentral:lncRNA from 1 species